rnacentral:rRNA from 1 species
AUGGUGGAUCCACUCUGGAUCUGGAUUUCUCCAAAGGUUUGGCUUUUGCUGAAGAAGUUUUUUGGUCCUCUGGUCUCUCCGUUCAUCCUAUGGAGGGUUCUCAUCCUUUUACUCUGGUUGUCUCUUUUAGUACGUGCUUUUCCGGUUGAUAUUUAUUCUAUGGCUGCGGCCCUAGAGGCUGCCAUCGGGGGUUCAACAAUUGAUCUUUUUGUGAAUCUUCUCAAGGAUAAGGUCUUCUCGUUCAAGGUUUCAUGUCAGUCAGUUGGGUUUCAUAUUGUGAAUCUCAGAUCUUUGUCCUGCCCGCAGUUUAAAUGUUAG